CCCUUAGACGUUCUGGGCCGCACGCGCGCUACACUGACGAAGGCAACGAGCUUUCCUUUACCGAAAGGUACGGGUAAUCUUUUGAAGCUUCGUCGUGCUGGGGAUAGAUCCUUGCAAUUUUUGAUCUUAAACGAGGAAUGCCUAGUAAGCGCAAGUCAUCAACUUGCGUUGAUUACGUCCCUGCCCUUUGUACACACCGCCCGUCGCUACUACCGAUUGAAUGGUUUAGUGAGGCCUUCGGAUCCGCGACUCGUUUGUGGAGAAGUUGGACAAACUCAGUCAUUUAGAGGAAGUAAAAGUCGUAACA
rnacentral:rRNA from 1 species